rnacentral:lncRNA from 1 species
AAGGAACUGCAAUUUCAUGGUUCCUAAUGAUGCUGCGAUUACAUUAUCUGGAUCACUUAGACGGUGGGUGUCAGGAGCGAUGCUCGAAGCCCGUCUCGAGGCUGGGGAGAAAUCACUCCUAAGACCAAGGAGAUGAGGAAAAGGAGUUCAAACGUCUGUUGCUAAUUUUCAUUAAUGUGUCGCUGUUUCUUACAUCUCAUGCAGACGUUAGUUUCAAGUUCCAAUAUCCUCCAGUUCCACCGAACCUCACAUUGUUACUAAUGUUCACAGGGUUAUUUUUUUUAAUCUAUUUAUUUGCUGUAUUCCACAAAAUAAUUUAUUUCUAGCAUUUAUUUUCAUUAGAUUUCUUGGAAAUGUGCUUCUGCAUAUCGUUAGUACAAGUAAUACAUUUUGAUUGUUGUUUCCUGAAGUAACUUGCACUAUCUGAUGAGUUAAAUAAAAUGCUUAAUUCCAAAGUCCGUUAUUCCCAUCUUUUGCAUUUAGGUUAUUUACCUUGCCUCCCAUGCCCUUUCUAAGUGAAGGUAUGUUAUAAAUCUUCAGUCAGUUUCUUGUUACAAUUUCUGGGCUGUGAAUAUAGACACUGUCAUUUUUUUUUUUUAAUGAUGAAACUUGGACCAAGUUCAAGGUUGCUUUUGAACACAGGUUUUCUUCUUCUUUAAUUGCCCUAAGACAUGGUUUUGAAGAGAUGGCAUCACAAACCCGAUCUGAGUUCUAGUUCCCUCAUUGGUGCAUUGGGAUGAUCUAUUGAGCCUGUUUCCUUGACUGUAAAGUAGGGAAAACAUCAGCCACCCUAAGGACCUACAUGAAGAUUCAACUAGGUAACCCAUGGAAAACCCCACCAGACAUAUGCUAAACAGUCACCACCCCAUUCGUCUUGAUCAAAUAAGCUGAUCUGUGACAUCAUGGUAGAGACAUAUGAUUGGGGUUGGGGGACUUUUGGGUGUCUUGCUUUAUUUCUUAUAAAGAUCCUUCAUGAUUAUGGCCUUAA